rnacentral:rRNA from 1 species
GAUGAGCGCUGGCGGCGUGCCUAAUACAUGCAAGUCGAGCGAACGGACGAGGAGCUUGCUUCUCUGAUGUUAGCGGCGGACGGGUGAGUAACACGUGGAUAACCUACCUAUAAGACUGGGAUAACUUCGGGAAACCGGAGCUAAUACCGGAUGAUAUUUUGAACCGCAUGGUUCAAUAGUGAAAGACGGUCUUGCUGUCACUUAUAGAUGGAUCCGCGCUGCAUUAGCUAGUUGGUAAGGUAACGGCUUACCAAGGCAACGAUGCAUAGCCGACCUGAGAGGGUGAUCGGCCACACUGGAACUGAGACACGGUCCAGACUCCUACGGGAGGCAGCAGUAGGGAAUCUUCCGCAAUGGGCGAAAGCCUGACGGAGCAACGCCGCGUGAGUGAUGAAGGUCUUCGGAUCGUAAAACUCUGUUAUUAGGGAAGAACAUAUGUGUAAGUAACUGUGCACAUCUUGACGGUACCUAAUCAGAAAGCCACGGCUAACUACGUG